rnacentral:lncRNA from 1 species
CCAUAUAGGUAUACUAUUCUCAAUAUGGCUACUGGGUGUAAAAGAUAAAUCUUAUUCUAUCUGUUCUUAAUGAGUUUUAGAUAAUUUUAGUUGUAUUUCUUUGUAAUUUUGUGUUGUACAAAGAUUAAUUUAACAUUUUCUCUGGAAGUAUUAAUUUAGAAAGAUAAUAUGCUUCAUUGGUGUUGUGUUUUGAAGUGUGAAAUGCAAAGUAAUUGUGAUAAAGUCAAGAUAAAGUUCACUUUUAAACUGAACUAAAUAAGGUAUCUGAGAGACAACAAUGGUUAAAUGCAAUACAAUGUACAGGUUUUACUAGCGAAAUGAAAAUUUUCCUGUCCUGUCUGCUGUAAUCAUUUUAUAUCUGGAAAACCAGCCGACUUAAUAGAUAAUAACAAUCUCCAGAUUGGGUUCCUUCAAUAAAUAUGGGCUAUAAACACAAUAAAAUAAGUUCCCCAAAAUCUAAAAUGGAGUGCUAUCAAAGGAGAAUUAAAGGAAAAAA